AUAUGAUAUGAUAUUGCUUUGAUGGACCUUGUUUGAGCAAAAAUGUAAUCAAUCAUGUUUGUUUUUUUAAUGGUAAUACUAACUGAUUUAUGUAAUUUUCCAUUAAUCAGCUGAUUUGGUUAAUAUUUACUAUCAUGGUAACACUGCCAACUUUCUCUCUACUGCUUUAAAGACAAAUGCAAGCAAGAAUAAAAUUCAGUGAUGCAACUUUUAGUCCAUGUUGUCAAUUGUUGACUAAUUGUUGCAGCCCUAAACCAAACCCACAAGUUUGUUUCUCUGCUAGUUUCUGGGUAUUUUGUUUGACUUAUUGGUUCCUGUCUUGUUUCAUCCGGUGUCUGAUGUAUCCAGCGGCUCGUAUUCUUUCGGGGGGAAACAAGGCAACCUUGGCUGAGGAAGGUGGUUCAGGCUGUUGCCCUGACAGUCAUGUGAAGGGGAAUCUGUGGUAAUGGAUGGAAAAGGAUAAAGGUUACACUGCAGUCCAUGUUUCUUCAGCAUCCCAUAACUAUGCAAAUAUCAGUCUGUGCAAGAGUCUACAGUAUUUGUUGUGAACACCAUAUUGCUCCUUCUGGUCCUCAUAAAAAAAAUAAAGAUGAA
rnacentral:lncRNA from 1 species